rnacentral:rRNA from 1 species
GUGAGGAAUAUUGGUCAAUGGGCGCAAGCCUGAACCAGCCAUGCCGCGUGAAGGAAUGAGGCCCUAUGGGUCGUAAACUUCUUUUGUGGUGGAGCAAUAAGGUGCACGUGUGCAUCGAUGAGAGUACAUCACGAAUAAGCAUCGGCUAACUCCGUGCCAGCAGCCGCGGUAAUACGGAGGAUGCAAGCGUUAUCCGGAUUUAUUGGGUUUAAAGGGUGCGUAGGCUGUUCGACAAGUCAGGGGUGAAAGCCCGGCGCCUAACGCCGGAACUGCCUUUGAUACUGCCGAGCUGGAAUACGGAUGCCGUGGGAGGAAUGAGUAGUGUAGCGGUGAAAUGCAUAGAUAUUACUCAGAACACCGAUUGCGAAGGCAUCUCACGAAUCCGUCAUUGACGCUGAGGCACGAAAGCGUGGGGAUCAAACAGG